rnacentral:rRNA from 1 species
GUUUUCGUAGGUGACCUGCGAAAGGAUCAUUACCGGCACA